UCAUAAGUCAAACUGCCAUUCGUUACAAAAGAACGGAUUUUCGAAGAUACAAUUCUCAUUAAAUCUGAAAAUAUUCUUAGCAAGUAAGAUAAGCCAUAUCUAGUCUAGAAAUAAAAUAAAAAAUGUAUGACAAGCAUCCUAGUACACUGAUGUAAGCUGCAAGUUGUUACCUUUUUCCUCAAUUUCUUUCAUGUUUUCGGAACAUCUAAAAUAUUCACUACCUGAAAAUAUCCUUAGCAAGUAAGAUAAACCCUAUAUAGAAAUAAAAAUUAAUGUAUGACAAGCAUCCUUGUACACUGAUGUAAACUGCAAGUUGUUACCUGAUGAUCUUGAUGAAAGCUUUCACCUUAAGGUGAAAGCUUUCUUUUUCGAUUUUUCAAUCUGCAGAGGAAAAAUUGAAAAAAAUUAAAGAAAAAUGAAACCAUAGCAGAUAUUCUCAAAUCUCUCCACUACUGUUAUACAAUCAAUCAUCCCUAACCAUAGCAAAUAUUCUGAAAUCUCU
rnacentral:lncRNA from 1 species